GACUCUUGAAUUUUGCUUUGCCAAACAUAUCCAGUGUGUCAUUGCCUAAAAAGUGCUGAAUAAUUAAACAGCCUUGUGUGACAAGCAGAUUCUCUGAUUUAUUCGAGUGAAGAAACUCCUAACCAUGGCACGUAAUUCCGGGGUUUGAAGUUGAGCUACUUUUACACCAUCUCUGUUGUGCCGAGAGCUACCUGUACUUCCCCUACCGCACUGGUUAGAAGUGACGUACCACCUGUAUCUGAUCUGUUGGACGGGAAUCAGAGUGUGGCACUGCACAUUAUAGACUGGGAUCACCAAGCUUAGCAUCGCCAACUUCAUCAUCUUCCCUUAUAAACUGUGACGUCCCCGGAACGUUUAGGACUGAUAACAUAUCAAGUGUCGGGAACAAUUUUGUAAAUAUUAAGAUUUCCUGAUCUAGAGGUCCAGAGAUAUUGAAAAUACUUGUUAAAAACUUGCUAAAAACAGGAGAAUGUUUAUGGCAUAUAUAACUGAAGUUGAAGGUUUUCAGAAGAGUUAGUUUCGAGGUUGACGAUAGCGGAUUGAGGUUAAAAGUAAUAUUGAUUAAGGCCGGUUGGCAUUGAAGAUUUCAGUGGAUUGUAAAAAGGUUAAAUUAAAAUUUUGAUGUGAAAAAGGUUUUUCUGAAUUGAAAACCGAUUCAAAAUUUUGGCUUGAAAUUGGAUGUGAAAUAUGGAAGUUGAAAACAGAAAUUUAAUUCACAUAGAUAUUGGAGUUGAAGUUUAUUGGAUUUGAGAUUGUUAUUGAGGUGAAUUUGGAAAAUCUUGAAGUCAGUAGAAGUCUGGAGACUAUAUUUUGGAAGUGAUUUUGAAGACAGACAAUUUUCUGUUAGUUUAAGUGAGUUUCGUAAGUUUGAGAAGUAUAGAUUUUGAAACUCGAGUAAAAUUUGAAAUUUAAGUGUAGAAAUUUGAAAUUUAAGGUUAUUGAUCACAUUUCGAGACAAUUUUGUUUUUGGAGAUUGGUUAUUGAUCAAUGGUUUGAGACCUGAAGUUUGAAGAUUGAGAAUUAGUGCGAAUUUAUUGAUAAUUGAAAUUCUCGUAGUUGAAUUUGGAGUGAUUUGUUUUUGAGAGUAUUAUUUCAUCGAAGCGUUGAGAAAUACCAAAUUUGAAGAAGUUUGCAGAUUGAGAAUUAAUUGGAAAUCUGUACCUGAUUUGAAUAAGUCAAGUCAUAGAAAUUGUUUUGGACUUGUGAAUUUAUAAUUUUGUGAAAUUUGGGGAUUUUGUGUAAAUAAAUGUGCUUGUAUAUUGUAUAUAGAA